rnacentral:lncRNA from 1 species
GGGCCGAGAGGGUAAGGGUGGGCCGCGCCGGCGGGGGCCCGGGUGCCGCCGCGGCUCCGCGCUCCCGCGGCCUCACUGUCUGGUCUCUCUUUGCAGGCGGCAAGAAGAAGCCGCUGAAGCAGCCGAAGAAGCAGUCGAAGGACCUGGAUGAGGCAGAUCUGGCAUUUAAACAAAAGCAGAAGGAGGAGCAAAAGAAACUUGAGGAGAUGAAAGCAAAAGCUGCUGGAAAAGGGCCCCUCAAGAUUAAUUUUUUCAUGAGCAGAAGAUUCCUGGCAGAAGAAAACCUGCGACUUGUAACUUAGUCUGGCUUCAACUGUUUUGCCUGAGUGACUGUAAAAUGCACUCUGUCACAGAGUGUAUUGCGAAGCUCUGUUUCUGUGCAGCUCGGGCAUAUAGCUGUACGUCUGCGCUGCAUAGCGUUCACGCAGAGAAACUACUUCAGGAGGAGAUGUGAUGAAGUACACUUGUCCACAUCA